UCAACGCAGCUGAAACCCAAACAUCCCAUAGCUAGAAAUAAUCUUAGACUCUGACAGGCAAGCCUGUGAAGCUGCAUGUUUGCAAUUUUGCUAUCAGAAUGAGAUAAGAAGUGAAUGCACUGUGAAAACAGAAGGAAUGUUUGGACAGUCGCCCUUUGGUUUAUGUCCCUCUGACAAGUAUUUGUGUCUGACACUGGCUGGUCACUUUUCAUGGGAAGGAUCUGUGCGAACAAACUACUCAUCCAGUGACAUUUUCCAUUUUUUGGCUCUGUCCCAUGAUGGUCUGAAAGACUCUGGGAAGUUGCAAAAACCUGAGGGUACAAUCUGCAUUUGUCUUGGCUCCUUCUUUCCAAGUGAGGUUUACUUUAUUUAUUUAUUUUGCUUGUCUCUUACUCCACAGUUUGGGCCUUAAUAAUAAGAUAUUUGUAGUAAAAUGUGUCCCUUACAAACAGUUAAUUGUAAUAUAUUUAUGUUGUGUACUUCAACCAAGAAUGGAAAUAAAUAAACUGAAUUUUA